AUACAUGUAAGUUUUACCGAAUCUCGUAGGAAACUUGUUCCUUGAGGUUAGCGGCGGAACGGGUGUAUUAACACGUGGGCAACCUGCCUGUAAGACCGGGAUAACUUCGGGAAACCGGAGCUAAUACCGGAUAACCUUUUCUUCCGCNUUGGAGGGAAACUAAAAGACGGCUCANGCUGUCACUUACAGAUGGGCCCGCGGCGCAUUAUACUAGUUGGUGAGGUAACGGCUCACCAAGGCGACGAUGCGUAGCCGACCUGAGAGGGUGAUCGGCCACACUGGGACUGAGACACGGCCCAGACUCCUACGGGAGGCAGCAGUAUGGAAUCUUCCACAAUGGACGAAAGUCUGAUGGAGCAACGCCGCGUGAGCGAUGAAUGCCUUCGGGUCGUAAAGCUCUGUUGUCAGGGAAGAACAAGUACCGGAGUAACUGCCGGUACCUUGACGGUACCUGACUAGAAAGCCAC
rnacentral:rRNA from 1 species